UGUGUAGGUGGUCUCGUAAGUCGGGUGUGAAAGCUCACUGCUCAAUGGUGAAAUUGCACUCGAAACUGCAGGACUGGAGUGCAGGAGAGGAAAGCGGAAUUCUUGGUGUAGCGGUGGAAUGCGUUGAUAUCAAGAAGAACACCUGUGGCGAAGGCGGCUUUCUAGAAUGCUACUGACACUGAAACACGAAAGUUGGGGGAGCAAACA
rnacentral:rRNA from 1 species